rnacentral:rRNA from 1 species
GCACAAGCGGAGGAACAUGUGGUUUAAUUCGAUGCAACGCGAAGAACCUUACCUACUCUUGACAUCCAGAGAAUUUGCUAGAGAUAGCUUAGUGCCUUCGGGAACUCUGAGACAGGUGCUGCAUGGCUGUCGUCAGCUCGUGUUGUGAAAUGUUGGGUUAAGUCCCGCAACGAGCGCAACCCUUAUCCUUUGUUGCCAGCGAGUAAUGUCGGGAACUCAAAGGAGACUGCCGGUGAUAAACCGGAGGAAGGUGGGAUGACGUCAAGUCAUCAUGGCCCUUACGAGUAGGGCUACACACGUGCUACAAUGGCAUAUACAAAGAGAAGCGAACUCGCGAGAGCAAGCGGACCUCAUAAAGUAUGUCGUAGUCCGGAUUGGAGUCUGCAACUCGACUCCAUGAAGUCGGAAUCGCUAGUAAUCGUAGAUCAGAAUGCUACGGUCGAAUACGUUCCCGGGCCUU